rnacentral:rRNA from 1 species
UAACCUGCCUCUUAGCGGGGGAUAACUAUUGGAAACGAUAGCUAAUACCGCAUAAAAGUCGACAUUGCAUGAUGUUGACUUGAAAGGUGCAAAUGCAUCACUAAGAGAUGGACCUGCGUUGUAUUAGCUAGUUGGUGAGGUAACGGCUCACCAAGGCGACGAUACAUAGUCGACCUGAGAGGGUGAUCGGCCACACUGGGACUGAGACACGGCCCAG